rnacentral:rRNA from 1 species
AGUGAACGCUGGCGGUAGGCCUAACACAUGCAAGUCGAACGGCAGCACAGUAAGAGCUUGCUCUUACGGGUGGCGAGUGGCGGACGGGUGAGGAAUACAUCGGAAUCUACUUUUUCGUGGGGGACAACGUAGGGAAACUUACGCUAAUACCGCAUACGACCUACGGGUGAAAUCAGGGGAGCUUCGGACCUUGCGCGAUUGAAUGAGCCGAUGUCGGAUUAGCCAGUUGGCGGGGUAAAGGCCCACCAAGGCGACGAUCCGUAGCUGGUCUGAGAGGAUGAUCCGCCACACUGGAACUGAGACACGGUCCAGACUCCUACGGGAGGCAGCAGUGGGGAAUAUUGCACAAUGGGCGCAAGCCUGAUCCAGCCAUGCCGCGUGGGUGAAGAAGGCCUUCGGGUUGUAAAGCCCUUUUGUUGGGAAAGAAAAGCAGCAGGUUAAUCCCCCGCUGUUCUGACGGUACCCAAAGAAUAAGCACCGGCUAACUUCGUG